CCAAUCCUAGUUUAUAUAUAUUUAGUUGUCGAUAGACCUUUAUUUUAUUUAUUUAUAUGUGGUGCUGAAAAUCGAACCCAGUGCCUCACCCAGGGCCUUACACAUGCUAGGCGAUCGUUCUACCACUGAGCCACAACCCCAGCGCCUGUACCUAAUUUUUAAGAGUGAAAGGAUCCUUGCCUUUUCAAAAAGAGGGAAGAGAGAACUAAGGUUCUCCAUAGUAGGGAAGUUCUGCAGAACUCCCCUAGAUUCUUAGAAUUGUCCUAGUAGUAUAGGAUUAAGAUGGACAAUAAAAGACUAGAGGUAUAGCUUUGCGAUGGAGCACUUGCCUAGCAUGUGUAAGGCCCUGGAUUUGAUUCCCAGGAAAACAUACACACACACAGAGCAAUAAAACAGGAAAGUCUUUUAAAGCCUUUUACCUCUCACCAAAAUCACCUUUCCCUAUGUCCCUCUCUGCCAGAGAUCUAGCAGACACCAACCUCAGAGAGCAAGAUCUAGAAGUCUAUUGAUUUCUCUAGAUCCCAGAGACCCGGUAAAUAAUUGGGAGUGAUAAUCUAAUCCCACCUCCCAUUCGAUAGGAAAAAAGAGAGCCAAGAGAAGAGAGGUGCCUUAGUAGAGAUCUCUUGCAAGUUUGCAUUAGCACUUGGUAGAGGUGUUUUGUUGUUGUUUGUUUGGGGUGUGUGUGAGAGAGUGAGUGUAUGUUUGUGUGGUCUGGAGAAUGGAACAGGGCUUUAAGGAUGCUAGGGAAGCACUCUAUCACUGAGCCAUACCUCCAUCCUUGGCAUUAACCCUUGAACCCUGGUCUCUAGACUCCUGCUCCUUUGUUCUUUACGCCUUAGCACUCUGAAUCCUUUAUUAGGACUGGGAAACCGGCAACCAUGGCCACUCCCCUCAACCUGCUGGCCUGAGGAAUACCUGAAGCCUAGUUUCAUCCAUGCUGGGAGAAUGGAGCAGGUAGUUCUAAACAGGCCCAAGAAAGGUCCUUAGCAAAGAGGUCCAGAUAGAGGCUGCCCUCCUGCUGCUUCUGGCCCUUCAGCACAGCGGGUCACACUGAAUCCCUGGAAUGGCUUCAGCUCCCUUUUCCACAGAAAUGCUGAAAACCUUUUCCCUGCUUAGGAAACCAGGCUUGGGUUUCUCCAGCUGGAUGGAUAAUGGACUCAGCAAAAGGUCACUCCUAGCCUGGCAUCCAUUAUCAUUAGGAAGAGUGAAAAACUGCUUUGUGGGGACCCUAGGGGUCAUCAAUCUAGUCAAAGAACACCCCAAUCCCAGAAAGGAGCUCUGUGUCUGGGAUAGUAUUUAAAAAAACCACUGAGUAAGGGGCUGGGGAGGUGGCUCAAGCGGUAGCGCGCUCGCCUGGCAUGCGUGCGGCCCGGGUUCGAUCCUCAGUACCACAUACAAACAAAGAUGUUGUAUCCGCCGAAAACUAAAAAAAAUAAUAAUAAUAAAUUAGAAAAACAAAACAACAACAACAAAAAAAAC
rnacentral:lncRNA from 1 species